GACGAACGCUGGCGGCGUGCUUAACACAUGCAAGUCGAACGGAAAGGCCCUGCUUUUGUGGGGUGCUCGAGUGGCGAACGGGUGAGUAACACGUGAGUAACCUGCCCUUGACUUUGGGAUAACUUCAGGAAACUGGGGCUAAUACCGGAUAGGAGCUCCUGCUGCAUGGUGGGGGUUGGAAAGUUUCGGCGGUUGGGGAUGGACUCGCGGCUUAUCAGCUUGUUGGUGGGGUAGUGGCUUACCAAGGCUUUGACGGGUAGCCGGCCUGGGAGGGUGACCGGCCACAAUGGGACUGGGGUAAGGGCCAGACUACUACCGGAGGCAGCAGUGGGGAAUAUUGCACAAUGGGCGGAAGGCUGGUGCAGCAACGCCGCGUGCGGGAUGACGGCCUUCGGGUUGUAAACCGCUUUCGCCUGUGACGAAGCGUGAGUGACGGUAAUGGGUAAAAAAGCACCGGCUAACUACGUG
rnacentral:rRNA from 1 species